rnacentral:lncRNA from 1 species
AUGAAUUCCAUGGCUGUGAAAGAGAACUUGGAAGACCUCAGCAUCUGCAGCAGACAGUACGGCUUCAUCUCUGAUACAAGAAUGGUGAAAGAUGCACGGACUUCACUGUGUCGCUGCAUAGGUUGGAGUGUGGGGUGGCAUGCCCUUUCAAAACUGAAAAUCUGGAACCACAUUGCAGUCUGCGUGUUUAUUAAAGGCUGACUCAUGGUCUGUUUGUUCGAUAACUUCAUACCACCAAGAUGACUGAAGGAUACAUGAAGAACCUGGGUGGAGAAGAAAUAUCACUAAGAUCCACUGUGAUAUGGAACAAAAUAGGAAAGAUGAAUGAGUGAGUGAGUGAGUGAGUGAGUGAGUGAGUGAGUGAGUGUGUGUGAGUGUGAAGGGGUGUGUUUGUACUCAGAAAAAUAAAAGAAUCCCCUAGGUAUGUGGAAAGGUUGGC